UCAGGAUCUCAGCCAGAUCAGCAAUUCUUUUAAAGAGGAACGUCAGUCCUGCCGGACAGCAGGAAGCUCCAGUAACUCCUGCAGACGACCUGCACUGGAGUAAGACAUUGGCUAAAUUGCAAAGUCAAAACCAAGCUCUAUGUACAGAGCUGAGUAAAGUGAAGAAGGAAAAUGAUGAACUCCAGAGCAAAGCAAGACAAGCAGAGAGAGAGACACGGGACAGGAGAGAACAAGCACCAAUACACCUUCCAACAUUUACGAUAGCAUUGCACUGGAUCGAUUACGCUCUAUCCGUAGGAACGUCGUGUCUCUCCUCUCUUCCAUCCUGCCCAAUUUGGAUAUGCAGGGAAUCAGCUAUGACACAGGAGACGUGGACAGCAUUCUGCAGCAGAUCAUCCAGGCCAACAACCUCUGAUAAAUAAGCUCCAGGACAAAUGCACAGUCCAACAAGAACUGAUUUCAGUGCAGCAUUUAUACAACCAUAUAGUUGUAAAUGAGCUCCACAGAAAGCAAGCUUAUAUGCAAAAAAAUCCUCUGAUCUUGUGCAGUGCUUCUAUCUGAGCUACACAGCAUAGAGCAUGUCUGGGCUAGCCACCUGUACCGAUAACAAGGUUUCUAUAGAGCAUAACGGAGGUCCUGUUCCUGUUACAAAGCCAUCGUAUGUAGACUACCUUAUUCCUUUACAAGCAUUAAUUCAGAACAUACCGCACUGAUAUUAUUCUUACAUAUGAUAUUACGUGUCAUGGUUAACAUUUAAGAAUGUUUGUUCAAGGGUUUUCUUCUUAACAAUGUGACUACUUUUUUAUAUAGAUGUGAGGCAGAAGUUUGUCAAAUGAAAUGUUCAGGAACCUUGCAUCAUUUCAAUGUAAAUUGUUGAUGUGUCUCUUUUUUUUAAAUGAUGCCGCAGAAUUGCUUGUUAUAAAAGUAACAUUGAUUAGACAGUCUAUGUCCAGUUUUAACGGUCAGUAUGUUGGAGGUUCUACACACACACCAGCGGCUUACAGUACGGUUUGUUCUGUGCUGCCUUUAAAGUAGGUGCCUGUUUUUACAAUAUCCUUGUUAUUAGCUCCA
ensembl:lncRNA